rnacentral:rRNA from 1 species
CCUGGCUCAGGAUGAACGCUGGCGGUAUGCUUAACACAUGCAAGUCGAACGGGCUCUUUCGGGGGCAAGUGGCGGACGGGUGAGUAACGCGUGAGAAUCUGGCUCUAGGUUCGGGACAACCACUGGAAACGGUGGCUAAUACCGGAUGUGCCGAGAGGUGAAAGGUUAACUGCCUGGAGAUGAGCUCGCGUCUGAUUAGCUAGUUGGUGGUGUAAGGGACUACCAAGGCGACGAUCAGUAGCUGGUCUGAGAGGAUGAUCAGCCACACUGGAACUGAGACACGGUCCAGACUCCUACGGGAGGCAGCAGUGGGGAAUUUUCCGCAAUGGGCGAAAGCCUGACGGAGCAAUACCGCGUGAGGGAGGAAGGCUCUUGGGUUGUAAACCUCUUUUCUCAGGGAAUAAGCAAGUGAAGGUACCUGAGGAAUCAGCAUCGGCUAACUCCGUGCCAGCAGCCGCGGUAAUACGGAGGAUGCAAGCGUUAUCCGGAAUGAUUGGGCGUAAAGCGUCCGUAGGUAGCAGUGUGUGUCUAUUGUUAAAGAGUUUGGCUUAACCAAAUAAAGGCGGUAGAAACUACACAGCUAGAGUGCGUUCGGGGCAGAGGGAAUUCCUGGUGUAGCGGUGAAAUGCGUAGAGAUCAGGAAGAACACCGGUGGCGAAAGCGCUCUGCUAGGCCGCAACUGACACUGAGGGACGAAAGCUAGGGGAGCGAAUGGGAUUAGAUACCCCAGUAGUCCUAGCCGUAAACGAUGGAUACUAGGCGUUGAGAGUAUCGACCCUCUCAGUGCCGUAGCUAACG